rnacentral:RNase_P_RNA from 1 species
AAAGUCCGCCGGGCGGUCGCUGGCAGGUUCGCCUGCGAGAGGAACGUCCGGACUCCGCAGAGCGGCGUAGCAGGUAACACCUGUCCACCGUGAGGUGAGGAUCAGAGCAACAGAGACGAGUCCCCUGCGCCGCGCCUUGCGCUAUGCAGGGGGGUGAAACGGGCAAUCUCUACGCGGAGCAACACCGAAUAGGCAGCCAGCGAUCCGGCUCGGGGAGGCUGCGGGUAGGUGGCUGGAGCCGGCGCGCGAGCGCCGGCCUAGAGGAAUGACCGUCACGGCACGGCGACGUGCCGCACAGAAUCCGGCGUACAGGCGGACUUUGCUU